rnacentral:lncRNA from 1 species
AAGGCUAGGUUUCUCUAGACCGACAAAGGAGGGUCCUUUCUUGGGAAGCCUGCAGCCAGUGGCUAGAAAUGGCUGCUUUGCGUACACUCAGUGUCUGGUGCACCCAAGCACCAGGCGGCAGAGCCACAUGUUAUCCACACAUACAGCCCUUCACAUGACCAAAUCUUACCAUCAUGGAGGUCUGAGGUCUCUAGGCGAGGCAACUUUCGGGGCCGGCCAGGCCUCCGUCGAGGUCUCAGGGUACUCGGUGUGGGACGCUGAAGCCGUAGCUGCCGGCCCCGGGGCUCAUCCUCAGCUGGGUUGUAGUCACUGUCCUCUGUGGCCACAGUAAAGGACAGCGUGUAGACCCACACUUCUAGUCCUGACCCUUACCCUGCUGACACCCACUGCCCCAUCUGUCAGUGCGUACUUCUCUCCACCAGUGAGGUGUUCCUAGGAGGCCCUCUGCAUCUUCCCCUACAAGGGUCUAACUAUCCCUCCUUUCUCUGUACCUCUCCUGGCACCUGCCAAUAGCUCACCUCAACCAGAAGCACAAAGAGGUAUCUGGUUCUAAAGCCACUUGAGCCACUGGUAGAAAGCAGUGUCUACAAACUCCUAGCUGAACUGUCCCACCAGGUGGACAACAGCAAAAACACUCAAUAGUAAAAUGGGUGCAGUCCAACACAGAGAAACUUUAUAAAGUAAUGUGUAAAAAGUAA